UGUUGCAGGUACAUGUAAUAAAUGCCCACCCUGCUGUUUUAAGGGGACAGAAGAGGUCUCAGGGGAAAUCAUGAAGUGUUAUGAGCAGAAACCAGGACCAGCCUGUGCUAACCAUUUCUAUGUUGUUGAGGACAAACGGGGGAAACAUUUUUGCAUCAACCCGAAUUCCCAAUGGCUGCAAAACAAGAGAAACCAGGAAGGGUUAAGCUGCAAGCUAAUCUGACAAGCAUCAUCGGCACAAAUUCAAUUUUGGAGCAAAACAAUUUUGUAUGACUGUUGUCAAAUGUUCAUCUGAACCAGCAGGUCAUUUUGAAAGACUAUAGGGAAACUGUGCCGUAGUCAAUAAAAAUUCAAAUACACAUUG